rnacentral:rRNA from 1 species
UGGGGAAUAUUGGACAAUGGGCGCAAGCCUGAUCCAGCCAUGCCGCGUGAGUGAUGAAGGCCCUAGGGUUGUAAAGCUCUUUCACCGGUGAAGAUAAUGACGGUAACCGGAGAAGAAGCCCCGGCUAACUUCGUGC